rnacentral:rRNA from 1 species
UACAGGGGGGGCAAGCGUUGUUCGGAAUUACUGGGCGUAAAGGGCUCGUAGGUGGCCGACUAAGUCAGACGUGAAAUCCCUCAGCUUAACUGGGGAACUGCGUCUGAUACUGGAUGGCUUGAGUUUGGGAGAGGGAUGCGGAAUUCCCGGUGUAGCGGUGAAAUGCGCAGAUAUCGGGAGGAACACCGGUGGCGAAGGCGGUUCUCUGGGCCUUACCUGACGCUGAGGAGCGAAAGCGUGGGGAGCGAACAGG